AUCUGCAAGCACACUACCUUGAACAUGAUAGAUCUCCUCUGAUCUCCAUAGCUAAGUAGGGCUGGGUGUGCUUAGUUCUUGAAUAGA
rnacentral:rRNA from 1 species